UUAACAACACAGGAGAAUAUAACAGAGGCUGACAACAAAGGAGAAUAUAACAGGGUUAACAACACAGGAGAAUAUAACAGAGAGACUGACAACACAGGAGAAUAUAACAGAGAGACUGACAACACAGGAGAAUAUAACAGGGUUAACAGAGAGACUGACAACACAGGAGAAUAUAACAGGGUUAACAACACAGGAGAAUAUAACAGAGAGACUGACAACACAGGAGAAUAUAACAGAGAGACUGACAACACAGGAGAAUAUAACAGAGACUGACAACACAGGAGAAUAUAACAGAGAGACUGACAACACAGGAGAAUAUAACAGGGUUAACAACACAGGAGAAUAUAACAGGGAGACUGACAACACAGGAGAAUAUAACAGGGUUAACAACACAGGAGAAUAUAACAGAGAGACUGACAACACAGGAGAAUAUAACAGAGAGACUGACAACACAGGAGAAUAUAACAGAGAGGCUGACAACAGAGGACAAUAUAACAGAGAGACUGACAACACAGGAGAAUAUAACAGGGUUAACAACACAGGAGAAUAUAACAGAGAGACUGACAACACAGGAGAAUAUAACAGGGUUAACAGAGAGACUGACAACACAGGAGAAUAUAACAGGGUUAACAACACAGGAGAAUAUAACAGAGAGACUGACAACACAGGAGAAUAUAACAGGGUUAACAACACAGGAGAAUAUAACAGAGACUGACAACACAGGAGAAUAUAACAGAGAGACUGACAACACAGGAGAAUAUAACAGAGUUAACAGAGAGACUGACAACACAGGAGAAUAUAACAGAGAGGCUGACAACACAGGAGAAUAUAACAGGGUGAGAUCCACAUUAACACAGGAAACUCAGUCCAAAACAGAUCAGAUCAGCACAUAGCCUCUCUGCAUGGGGGUAGAAGGUGACUGUUGACCCAGGGUUUAGAGUAUUCCCUCAGCAGUAGAAGGUGACCCAGGGUUUAGAGUAUUCCCUCAGCAGUAGAAGGUGACCCAGGGUUUAGAGUAUUCCCUCAGCAGUAGAAGGUGACCCAGGGUUUAGAGUAUUCCCUCAGCAGUAGAAGGUGACCCAGGGUUUAGAGUAUUCCCUCAGCAGUAGAAGGUGACCCAGGGUUUAGAGUAUUCCCUCAGCAGUAGAAGGUGACCCAGGGUUUAGAGUAUUCCCUCAGCAGUAGAAGGUGACCCAGGGUUUAGAGUAUUCCCUCAGCAGUAGAAGGUGACCCAGGGUUUAGAGUAUUCCCUCAGCAGUAGAAGGUGACCCAGGGUUUAGAGUAUUCCCUCAGCAGUAGAAGGUGACCCAGGGUUUAGAGUAUUCCCUCAGCAGUAGAAGGUGACCCAGGGUUUAGAGUAUUCCCUCAGCAGUAGAAGGUGACUGUUGACCCAGGGUUUAGAGUAUUCCCUCAGCAGUAGAAGGUGACUGUUGACCCAGGGUUUAGAGUAUUCCCUCAGCAGUAGAAGGUGACCCAGGGUUUAGAGUAUUCCCUCACCAGUAGAAGUGGAUGGCACAGACAGUGUGUGUGGACAUGGUGUCAGAUGGUGCCUGUUAAAGAGUCCUGUCUCACCAGUAGAAGUGGAUGGCACAGACAGUGUGUGUGGACAUGGUGUCAGAUGGUGCCUGUUAAAGA